GUGGGGAAUAUUGCGCAAUGGGGGAAACCCUGACGCAGCAACGCCGCGUGCGGGAUGAAGGCUUUCGGGUUGUAAACCGCUUUCAGCAGGGAAGAUAGUGACGGUACCUGCAGAAGAAGCCCCGGCUAAAUACGUGCCAGCAGCCGCGGUAAUACGUAUGGGGCGAGCGUUAUCCGGAUUCAUUGGGCGUAAAGCGCGCGCAGGCGGGCUGCUAAGCGGGACCUCUAAUCUCGGGGCUCAACCCCGAGCCGGGUUCCGAACUGGCAGCCUCGGGUUCGGUAGGGGUAGGCGGAAUUCCCGGUGUAGCGGUGGAAUGCGCAGAUAUCGGGAAGAACACCGAUGGCGAAGGCAGCCUACUGGGCCGCAACCGACGCUGAGGCGCGAAAGCUGGGGGAGCGAACAGGA
rnacentral:rRNA from 1 species